CUGACUUCUCACCGUCUAUAUUCAACAUCAACUACUCCAAGUGAUAAGAGUGAUGCAGCUGCAUCUGUUGUUUGAGCCAUCCGACCAAAGGCUCGUCUGCUGAGAAUAAAGUCAGCGUUACCACUAGAGCCUUGGCGCCUUUUCACUCCGACACAAGACUGCGAUGCUUUGAUACCUGAUAGCAGGAGCCACAUCCUACACCAUCACGGUAGAGGUUCGAUGCAGCUGAUACAUCUCCACCAUUUAUUGUUGCUCCAAAUGAACCAAAUCCACAAGCACCUCCUAAAAAUUCAUGUAAAAAGAUUAAUUUGGAUAGUAGGCCGCUUGAGAAUGAGUGAAACAGUCACUACAUGUUGCAGCCUCUGCUAAAGUCUGCAGAAAGAGCAAAGUUGCAAAAAGAAGCAAGAGAGGCCGAAGAGAGGGAGCCAUUAUUUGAUAUUCGGAGCAAAGAGAAUGAAAGGAAAGAAGGAAUUUCACCAAAAGGUGGCUGGACAUUUUAUUGACAGGCUCAAGCAGACAGGCAAACAGCUUGCCGACAAAGACUGCCACAAAGGGAGUCCAUUAUUUGAACACAUCAGCCAUGACCUGGAAACCAUUAGUGAUCUGUGGUCCCUACUUGUAUUGAUGUAUUCUCCAGGUGAAGUAACGGAAGGAAAUAAUCUUGCAUAUUCAAAGGCUUAAAAGACAAAUAUGCUGUCGAUUUCAUGUACAUGCAGAAAUGAUUUGAAGCGUUGGUGUUGCUUUCAUCUAAUGUUAAGAAGAUACAACAUCGAACAAGUGCAUGGUUAAUCUGCUUAGCCAGGUUGGAUGAUGGAACAAUCAGAAGAAGUUAUGCAUUUUUAAGGCAGAAUCUACUUUAUUUGAAGCCUUAAUUAUGCUUGAGAGAUUUUUAUUUUUUUCAGAAAACCCAUUUAUAUUCAGAGUUGGAAGACUGUGACCAAGAAACUUAGGGAGCUACUAUUCAAAGUUUAUGAGCCCUAAAUGUCGUUGUCAAAACAUGUAUCUGCUGCAAGAAAUUAAGCUGGUGCAGAAAAUGAAUCAACUUGUAGCUGUUUGCAUUCAAAAGGAUUGCAAGAGAAGAUGGUAAAUUAUAGGAAGGUUUUGGAAUCAAAGGUGGUGUGCGGAAUUUUUGUGGACAUGAUAAAGGUUGGUACAUGCAGUUGUAAUUUUUUGGAAUAGGGUUUUCAAUUGAAGUUUUAGUUUAUGAUAAACCCACUGAAACGAAGAAUGGGCGUGGCAUGUGACUUCAACUUCAUGUUCUUUCAAAUCUUAAUCUCAAAAUGAGCUACAUGUUUUAUACCA